GCAUAUCGCCCGCCACACCACAGCCACGCUACUGCUCCAU
rnacentral:antisense_RNA from 1 species